CCCUACGGGGGGCAGCAGGGAAUUUUCGUCAAUGGGCGCAAGCCUGAACGAGCAAUGCCGCGUGAACGAGGAAGGUCUUCGGAUCGUAAAGUUCUGUUGAAGGGGAAAAAGAGCGGAGAGAGGAAAUGGUCUCCGAUUGAUAUUACCCUUCGAGGAAGUCACGGCUAACUACGUGCCAGCAGCCGCGGUAAUACGUAGGUGGCGAGCGUUAUCCGGAAUGAUUGGGCGUAAAGGGUGCGUAGGCGGCCUGCUAAGUCUGGAGUGAAAGGUACCGGCUCAACCGGUACAGGCUCUGGAAACUGGCG
rnacentral:rRNA from 1 species